GAUGAACGCUGGCGGCGUGCCUAAUACAUGCAAGUCGAGCGAAUGGAUUAAGAGCUUGCUCUUAUGAAGUUAGCGGCGGACGGGUGAGUAACACGUGGGUAACCUGCCCAUAAGACUGGGAUGACUCCGGGAAACCGGGGCUAAUACCGGAUAACAUUUUGAACCGCAUGGUUCGAAAUUGAAAGGCGGCUUCGGCUGUCACUUAUGGAUGGACCCGCGUCGCAUUAGCUAGUUGGUGAGGUAACGGCUCACCAAGGCAACGAUGCGUAGCCGACCUGAGAGGGUGAUCGGCCACACUGGGACUGAGACACGGCCCAGACUCCUACGGGAGGCAGCAGUAGGGAAUCUUCAGCAAUGGACGAAAGUCUGACGGAGCAACGCCGCGUGAGUGAUGAAGGCUUUCGGGUCGUAAAACUCUGUUGUUAGGGAAGAACAAGUGCUAGUUGAAUAAGCUGGCACCUUGACGGUACCUAACCAGAAAGCCACGGCUAACUACGUGCCAGCCGCCGCGGUAA
rnacentral:rRNA from 1 species